rnacentral:rRNA from 1 species
GACGAACGCUGGCGGCGUGCUUAACACAUGCAAGUCGAACGGUGACGAGGAGCUUGCUCCUCCGAUCAGUGGCGAACGGGUGAGUAACACGUGAGUAACCUGCCCCAGACUCUGGGAUAACAGUUGGAAACAGCUGCUAAUACCGGAUACGAGACGGAGAGGCAUCUCUACCGUCUGGAAAGUUUUUCGGUCUGGGAUGGACUCGCGGCCUAUCAGCUUGUUGGUGAGGUAAUGGCUCACCAAGGCGACGACGGGUAGCCGGCCUGAGAGGGCGACCGGCCACACUGGGACUGAGACACGGCCCAGACUCCUACGGGAGGCAGCAGUGGGGAAUAUUGCACAAUGGGCGAAAGCCUGAUGCAGCGACGCCGCGUGAGGGAUGACGGCC